AGCGAACGCUGGCGGCGUGCCUAACACAUGCAAGUCGAACGUGAAAAGGGAAACCUGAGUACAGUGGCGUACGGGUGAGUAACGCGUAGGUAAUCUACCCCAGAAUCUGGAAUAACCUGCCGAAAGGCGGGCUAAUACUGGAUAGAGCGAGGGAACUCGUAAGAGAGUUUUUCGGGAAAGGGAGCCCGCAAGGGCCUUCGUUCUGGGAUGAGCCUGCGUCUCAUUAGCUAGUUGGUAAGGUAACGGCUUACCAAGGCGAUGAUGAGUAGCUGGUCUGAGAGGAUGAUCAGCCACACUGGAACUGAAACACGGUCCAGACUCCUACGGGAGGCGGCAGUGGGGAAUCUUGCGCAAUGGACGAAAGUCUGACGCAGCCACGCCGCGUGAGUGAAGAAGGCCUUCGGGUUGUAAAGCUCUGUCGGAUGGGACGAACAUCUUCAUAGUGAAUAGCUAUGAGGACUGACGGUACCAUCAAAGGAAGCACCGGCUAACUCCGUG
rnacentral:rRNA from 1 species